rnacentral:rRNA from 1 species
UACGUAGGUGGCAAGCGUUGUCCGGAUUUACUGGGCGUAAAGAGCGUGCAGGCGGUUUGUUAAGUGCAGAGUGAAAGCUCCCGGCUCAACUGGGAGAGGUCUUUGCAUACUGGCAAACUCGAGGGAGGCAGAGGAAAGUGGAAUUCCCGGUGUAGUGGUGAUAUGCGUAGAUAUCGGGAGGAACACCUGUGGCGAAGGCGGCAUCCUGGACCGGUAUUGACGCUGAGGCGCGAAAGCUAGGGGAGCAAACGGG